CUUUACUAAACAAAGAAGAUAAAUGGAAUUCAAGUACCCUACUUGCUCAGGAAAUGCCUUGCAUAAUGCAUUGAUAGUUGCAUUUAGUUCCAAAGGGUCAUCCCUUUUGGAAAUAUCCAGUUGCAUCAUUUCAGAAUUAUCAGACAAUUCUUUGGUAGCAGCGCCACAAUUCACCAUGAUCCGACCAUUGGGCAUCAACAUCUUAUUCAUCUCCAACCAAGUUGUAACCUCUUCCAGUUGUGGUAAAACCUUUCCAUCAGAAAACAAAUCAACUAUUAUACCUGCAUAACCUCCAGGAAUAGUAACAGAUGAAG
rnacentral:misc_RNA from 1 species